AAAUCGGNGAGGGGUCAAGGCCCCUCUAUUCCCAAAAAAAGCCCAUUU
rnacentral:tRNA from 1 species